CUACAAUUUGAGUAUAAAAGCGUAUCAAUGCCAAUAGGAAAAACAGAAGAAGAUUUUCUGGCACUAGAAACGCAAUGAAAAUGCGCAACCAACACUUGACUCGACAUGGACUCGGUAAUGCCCGAUCGUUGCUCGGACUCAUUAUAAUUUUUGUCAUUUGGCAACAGUGUCAUGCUAUGACUACUUCAAACACCCCAUGUAAAAGGCAACAUACACAAAAGGACUGCGCAAUUAUCAAGGCUAUUUCUCAGGGAGUGGGCGAUUAUUGUAAUAACGACAAUUUUAAAUGUGACACAAGAUUAACAUGCACUUACUCAAAGUGCUGGGGUUGUAUCGACGAUAUAUGUUACCCGGACUGUGGCCGUGUUAAAAGAUUGCCUCCCAACCGUCUACCAAGUUGGUUUCAACGUACGCCGCUUGAAAACUUUGCACAAAAAUAUAUAGAGCCCAAUUAUGAUGACGAAUCUACUAAAUACGCAUCCAUCGAUUAAAUACAUACGUUUUACAUGUAUGCGCAUAUGUAAUAAGUGUCUAAUUAUAUUAAUCUGAAAGUUAUGGUAUAGGCAAAAAAAAAAAAGAAAUUGAACAAAAAAAUAAUAAUGAUGAGAAUGCAUGAAUACUGCAAGCACAAAUUCACCUUGUUUUAAAUGGAAAACAUAAAUUUUUGAUUUAUUGAGCAA